AAAGAACGCUCAAAUCUUAAUUCUCUGAUCUCAAGACCUAAUAAUCCUCUUCAUCACUACUUCUCUUCGGUGCCGCAUCGUACCCACUCCCUUUCCAAAACCCUAGACCUCCUCACACCUUCCUCUACUCCUCCCAUGGCAAGAAAGCGAAAGCUCGACUCUUCCAAAUCUACCGAGCCCGCCGAGCCUCCCAAGAAGCUUCAGCAGCAACCUCAAGCUGCCCUGGACGAGGGCAAACCCCAGAAUGAACCCCUCAAGGAAGUCGUUCCUGAGGAUCUAGCGAAUUACGAUGUGGUCGAGGAAGAAGACGAUGACGACAACGAUGAUGAAAACGAUGAGGAGGAAGAGGAUGAUGACGACGACGAUGAUGAGGAGGAAGAUGAAGGUGAUGCGAAUGUCAAUAACCACCAUCCGACCACCCCCAAGAUUUUAUCUUCCUCGGCCGCUGCUGCAACUGCCGCUGAUGACGACGACGAGCCCAUUCAGAAGCUCUUGGAGCCUUUUAGCAAGGACCAGCUUAUCAAUUUGCUCCGGGAAGCGGCGGAUAAGCACGCGGAUGUCGCUGGGAGGAUUCGAAUGGUUGCUGAUGCGGACCCAUCUCACCGGAAGAUUUUUGUUCAUGGGCUAGGGUGGGAUACUAAUGCUGAAACUUUGAUUAAUGUGUUUAAGCAAUUCGGUGAGAUUGAGGACUGUAAAGCUGUGUGUGAUAAGGUUUCUGGUAAGUCCAAGGGUUACGGUUUCAUCCUCUUUAAGAAGCGUAGUGGGGCGAGAAAAGCAUUGAAGGAACCCCAGAAGAAGAUUGGCAAUAGGAUGACUGCCUGUCAGUUAGCUUCGGUUGGGCCUGUUCCACCGACUAGUGCGGUAGCAGCUCCUCAAGCACCACCUGCUUCGGAAUAUACGCAGAGAAAGAUUUAUGUAAGCAAUGUUGGAGCUGAUGUAGACCCCCAGAAGUUGCUAACUUUCUUUUCCCAGUUUGGUGAAGUUGAGGAAGGACCUUUGGGGCUUGACAAGAUGACGGGUAAGCCUAAAGGUUUCUGUUUAUUUGUGUACAAGUCGCUAGAAAGUGCUAGGAAGGCUUUAGAGGAGCCUCACAAGAACUUUGAAGGCCAUGUCUUGCAUUGUCAGAAGGCCAUCGACGGUCCCAAGCCAGGGAAGGCUCAGCACCAGCAUCAUACACCAAAUGCGCCCUUUCAAAGGAAUAAAAAUCCUAAUUAUGCAGGUGGGGGGGCCUCUGGAUCGGGGCACUUGAUGGCACCUGCAGGGCCUGGUGUUGGUUAUAACCAAGGACCUCCUCAAGCAUUGAACCCAGCUCUUGGUCAGGCUCUGACUGCUUUGCUGGCGGGUCAGGGUGCUGGGUUGGGGCUCACUAAUUUGUUAGGGACACUCGGAUCUGCUGCAGGGCUGAAUCCAGCAGUGCAAGGCGCGGGACCUGGAGUACAAAGUGGGUAUGGGAGUCAAGCAAAUAUAAGCCCUGGGGUGAUGGGAUAUGGUAGUCAAAGCGGUGUGCAGGGUGGAUAUCCAAACCAACAAAUGGGACAGGGUGGAACUGGAAGAGGAGGGCAGCAUGGUGUUGGGCAGUACGGUGGUCCUGGCGGUUAUAUGGGGCACUAGUGCCUCUAUGCGGUUGCCCGGUUGGACAAGGAGCUACUAUUUUGCAGGUUGUCUCCUUCGUAAGGUAUUUUCAUUCUUGCAUUUUGCUUGGAGUUUCUUUUGCAGUGCCAAGGCCCUGAGAAAUUGGAUCAAUUUUAGAUUAAAAAACAUUUCUUAUUGGCAUUUUUAUAUUUAUACUGGGAUGCUAUUAGGGUUUAAAUGUAACUACAUUUAAGGAACUAUAAACAAUAGUACUUUAAUGUUUUCAAUUUAAUAAGUUACAAGGUUACCUUUAGGUCUGUUAGACGACUUAGAUUGUUAGUUAAUCCAAUUGGUUUCUUAAGGUCAAUAAUAUUUUCUUUAUAACUUAUAAUAGUAUGUCAUUAAUCAUGUAAAAAUGAUUCCACUAAGACCUUGCUUAUCUUUUCUUCUUUUCUUUUCUUGUUUCUUCUUCUCAUGAAGCUGGCCUGCACCAUUCAAAUGCUUGUUCUAUAUGUAAGCAUCUUUAUACCUUCAAUCCUGUGUAGACAUAGAUAGUUGCCCAAUAUUUUAAUAGGGUACUUCUUUUUGUUAAAUUUUAAUUUGUGUUCUUUGAUUUUCUGAAUGAACUUCAAUUUGAAGGUAUAUGUGCUGUAUUAGAUAUAAAUAGCCUUUUGCCUUUUUUCUAUCACGCUAUGUUUUAUAAAUUGUGAUGGUGGGGCAGGACUGGUGCAGUUUGGUCUGAGCAAUUGUUAAUAUUUGUUUGAUUAUCUUGGAAUUGACUGUGCUUGUAGGCAGUUCAAUGUCUUGGGGGCUUGCAAUUUUCUAUAAAAUUAGUCAGAAAAGUUCAUAGGUACCAAGAAAAAAAUGGGGUUCUUGAUAGUGCCUUGUCUUCAUUUCCUUGAAUUGAUCUGUUCUUAACCACUUUAAAACUCACAAUUCAUAUGUUACAUUAACUAGUUUCUUGCACCAUUUAGUUUCUGAUUUAGUGUCACUGUUUUGGAUCCGUGGAUUGCUCCAAUUGUAGAAAUGUCAGAAGAGCAUGAUUGUCUUGCAUAUUAGCUAUACACCUCAUUCGAGUCACUUUUGAAGUUUGAAUGUAUUUCUUGUACUAAUAUUUUCUGAUAUCUUGCCUCUUAGCUGUUUCAGCAUUUGCUGAUGCAUAGAUAUUCCUUGAGAACCUCACCCCCGAAGUUCACAUCAUAUAAAUAGGGGAUAAUGAACUAAGAGAUCUCAUAAUUUCCCAAAUUUGAAUCAUAUUGCCUCACUCCAUCCAUGGUACAUUAUCGUGUCGUUUGGUCUGUGAGGGCUCUUGACAAUUCAAAGGAAUACUUACUCAAAGGCGGGGCGUUUGGGAAUUGAAGGUUGAUUGCUUGCAGACGUACAUGCACAAGUCGCUUAGAAGAACGUGGUGGUUGUUCGAACAUUUGAAUCGUAUAAGCAAAAGAUUUGAACCGAGUGCAAAAUGGGUGGUAAUUCGAGACUGCAGAAAAUUUCCUAAUGGUCAGUGGGUGGGUUGGUAGUUACUCGAAAUGUAUAUAGUUAUCUAAAUAGUGGAGAUGGGAGAGUGUGAGAAGUUAUCUAGAUAGUGGGUCUUUACAUGAGAACAUGAAUAGUUACUCAAGAUUAGUCAUCAAAAGUAGUGGAGAGUGGGUUUUUCCUACGCAAGCUAAUGUAAGGUAUUUGGGAGUACCUUGGUCAUGGGAUAUAGAGAGUCUUGUGAGAAUUGGUAAGGUCUUGGUGAGAGUUGUCACUGAACAAUUGUGAGGGCUAGUCUUCCUUGGGGAGAUAGCCAUGUCCAACUUGUGAAUUAAGUACCUUUUGAGAAGGGAUGGAGUGGUCAUACCAUGGAGUUAAGUUGUAAUCCAUCAAGGAAGCGUCUUAACGUCUUAAUCGAGGGGGAUUAAUGCCAUUUAUGUAGAGCUGGGAAUUUCAUGUUGUUCGUGGCAUACACCAUUAGGUUCGAUUUAAAUUUUAAAAUUGUAAUUCUUUUUGUGAUGGCUAUU